UGCACGGCCGGCCGGCCUUGGCGGGGAAGGUGCUGCGAAGGGGAAUACGCUCAUGUGACCUUGGCCCAUGUCCAGCAAGGUGGGAAGAGGAGUGCCGUUUAACCUCAAGACAUCAGAAGGGGGCCAGGGAGAGAAGACACCAGGCCUCCUCAGGGCCAAGAAAACAGACCCCUCAAACGGCGGGGUGCUCAGUAUGGCGCCCGCCAGCAAAUGGAACAGAAUCAAGGUCCGCAGAGUGACUGUCGUCACCUGCCCACAUCUGUGUCCAACAGCCCAGCACUGGUCUACAGGACUCUCCGCGUGGGAGGAGAUCACCAGCCUCCCAGGGGAUGGCCAAGGAGGGCAAGGGCUGAGGGCUGAGGCCGUGCCCACCAUCUGCCUCGCUGCUUAGCACCAGGCAGCAUCAGGAUCACGCUGCACGCGGCCCCACCCAGGAGGAGCGGAGCACUCAGCAGCCUGACCAGGGAGCCCAUUACUUUCAUGGAGACGCCGGCCGAUCCGACGAGGAGCAGGGAAUCCCCGUCCCAGACGUCGAUCUGCAGCGUCUGCG